rnacentral:lncRNA from 1 species
GUCUCAACAUUGAAAUGUUCGUGUAUCAUCAUUAAACUUCCUGCAAAUACAUUCCCCACUUACAUUGCUUUUGUCUAUCCAGAUCAACUUCUUUCAAAACAUUCUCCCCAUUAAAUUGGUUCGUGUGAAUAUAUUUUUUCCAUUUCUUAUAACCAAUAUACAUUAUGACCUUUAUUGAAAAAGAAAAACACUUUCCCCAUUUAAACUAUCAAUGCCCAUUUUAACAUAUCUUUGAAUGUCCAUGAAAAUAUGCCUUCCCAUGCAAAUUGAAGCAUAAGGCAUUAAAUAGCCUCCCUAUAAAUUCUAAACACAAAGACUGAACAAAAGAUAUUUGUAACAGAGGCUUCACCACCCACAGUUAUGCUUGAGGAGUAAAGUCUUUCAAUCUACAUAAUACUCUGGAGAAUUAUUCUUUUUUCAAAUAAAAUAACGCAGAGAAUUAAAUGCUAAGAAGAUAAUUCACAUGAUGGCUUCAUCCCAUCAAAAUGGUUUCUGUUCCAUAAUAGUAGUAUGGGGUUCUCCCUUGUAGUCAAGUGUAUGAAGCUCAUUGUCUCAACUUCUAUUAUGUGCUUUAAAGUUCACCAAUAGAGCAUACCAUCAAGACCCAUGUCUCAAACCCUCCAUUCAUUCCAACUUUCUCUCUCCUCCC